AUGCGCGGUCUGCCUCCCGCGGCGGGCCGGGUCUCCAGGGAGGACCUGAGUUUUCUUCACCCAUGGUCAGGGAAGCGCCAUCGCCCUGGCUUUGGGGCUGGGGCCUCCGGGGAGGUUCCGGUAGGGGCGUUGGAGAGGCCGCUCUUUUUGCAAGGCCCGAGACGGCGGGCCCUGCGCAGGCCGCCCUAUUCCGCGCCCUCAGGACGUCAGUAUCCGCCUGAGGCCGGAUACCCCCUCUGGGCCCGGAUGCCCCCGCUGGGCCCGGAGCAUCCUCGGCGCUGCCCUCCCAGAGCCCCGCAGAGGCUGAGGUGGCGCGGGGGCGGCCCUGGCUCCGCGAAAAGCGGCGGCAGCGAGGGCUGGAGGACCCGGGCUACGGGGCUCCGGGGCGUCUGGCCUGGGUGGGACUGAGCCCAUCCAGGGACUGGGACUCCGGGAUUCUGUUGUAGGUGGAUCUGGGGCAGGCUCAGGACCAAGUCCCUCUCCUUCCACCAAGGAGCGCCCAGAGGCCGGCGGGAGCUCCAGGUUCACCUCCUCCUCCUCCAGGAAAUCCCACUUCCAACUGGAUGAACUACUGAAAGCUGCUGAGUGUCCUGCAGCAGGCCGUUUCCAAUCCAGAGGAAGACCUUCUAGAAGAAGUGAUGGGUGGGAGAGUGCUGACAUACUAUGUGAAGCUACUAUUUGGAGUUGGACACGAGUGCAUGUGACCUUGUGCCACAGCGGGAAUGUGAGCUGGAUGACAAAUGGAGAUUUGGACUUGUGAUAAUUGGCCUCUGUGUCAUUGUGUGGAAGACUGACUGGUCCCUUUAUUUCCUGUAGCUUGACUACCACACAAAUUAAUCCACUCAAAUGUUGGCAAGUGGAGCAGAGUCCCAGGACAGAGUCUCACUCUGUCACCCAGGCUAGAGUGCAAUGGCAUGAUCUCGGCUCAAUACAACCUCCGCCUCCAGGGUUCAAGAGAUUGUCCUGCCUCAGCCUCCCGAGUAGCUGGAACUACAGGCACGUGCCACCAUACCCUGCUAAUUUUUUGUAUUAGUAGAGACAGGGUUUCACCGUGUUGGCCACUGACUUCGUGAUCCCAAAGUGCUGGGAUUACAGUGCCUCGGCCUCCCGAAGUGCUGGGAUUACAGGCGUGAGCCACCGCGCCCGACCCCACUAAUGGUUUUUUCAUGACCUAUCUUGUGUGCUCCUA
rnacentral:antisense_RNA from 1 species